GUAGCUCAGUUGGUUAGAGCAUGGUGCUGAUGAUGCCAAGGUUGCAGGCCUGAUCCCCAUUCCUGCAUUGCA